ACGGCCGUACCAUGCUGAAUAUACCGGUUCUCGUUAGAUCACCGAAGUGAAGCAUCAAUCAACUUGGGUGGGUGACCACCUGGGAACACCGCGUGCCGUUG